rnacentral:lncRNA from 1 species
GGGGGGAGGGGACGUUUGGGGACAUUUGGGGACAUUUGGGGACAUUUUGGGGUCAUUUUGGGGACAUUUGGGGACAUUUUAGGGACAUUUGGGGACGUUUGGGGACAUUUGGGGUCAUUUAGGGGAGAUUUGGGGACAUUUGGGGACAUUUUUGGGACAUUUGGGGACGUUUGGGGACAUUUUGGGGACAUUUGGGGUCAUUUUGUGUCAUUUUGGGGACAUUUUGGGACAUUUAGGGACCAUUUUGGGUCAUUUGAGGACAUUUGGGGACAUUUUGGGACAUUUGGGGACAUUUGGGGAGAAUUUUGGGGACGUUUGGUGACAUUUGGGGACAUUUUGGGGAGAUUUGGGGUCAUUUUAGGGACAUUUGGGGACGUUUGGGGACAUUUUUGGGACAUUUGGGGACAUUUUGGGGUCAUUUUGGGGACAUUUGGGACAUUUUUGGGGAGAUUUUGGGUCAUUUUUGGGACAUUUGGGGACAUUUUGGGGGCAUUUGGGGACAUUUGGGGACAUUUUAGGGACAUUUGGGGACAUUUUGGGACAUUUUGGGGAGAUUUUGGGGUUAUUUUGGGUCAUUUGGGGACAUUUUUGGCCAUUUUUGGGACGUUUGGGGACAAUUUUGGGUGAUUUUGGGUCAUUUUUGGGAGAAUUUGGGGACAUUUGGGGUCAUUUGGGGACGUUCUGGGACCAUUUGGGGACAUUUUGGGGUCAUUUUGGGGUCAUUUAGGGACAUUUUGGGGACAUUUUGGGUCAUUUUGGGACAUUUGGGGUCAUUUUGGGGACAUUUUGGGGACAUUUGGGGACGUUUUAGGGACAUUUGGGGACAUUUUUGGGAGAAUUUGGGGACACUUGGUGACAUUUGGGGACAUUUUGGGGACAAUUUGGGGACAAUUUUGGGUCAUUUUUGGGACAUUUGGGGACAUCUGGGGCCAUUUUGGGGACAUUUUGGGGACAUUUUGGGGACAUUUGGGGACAUUUGGGGACAUUUUGGGUCAUUUGGGGACAUUUGGGGACAUUUUGGGUCAUUUGGGGACAUUUUUGGGAGAAUUUGGGGACAUUUGGGGUCAUUUUGGGGCCAUUUGGGGACUUUUGGGGACAUUUGGGGACAAUUUUGGGUCAUUUUUGGGACAUUUGGGGUCAUUUGGGAACAUUUUGGGGACAUUUGGGGACGUUUGGGGACAUUUUGGGGAGAUUUGGGGUCAUUUUAGGGACAUUUGGGGACGUUUGGGGACAUUUUUGGGACAUUUGGGGACAUUUUGGGGACAUUUGGGGAGACUGGGACAUUUUUGGGACAUUUGGGGACAUUUUGGGUCAUUUUUGGGUCAUUUUUGGGACAUUUGGGGACAUUUGGGGACAUUUGGGGACAUUUUUGGGAGAAUUUGGGGACAUUUUGGGGAGAUUUUUGGGACACUUGGGGACAUUUUUGGGACAUUUGGGGACGUUUGGGGACAUUUUGGGGACAUUUGGGGUCAUUUUGUGUCAUUUUGGGGACAUUUUGGGACAUUUAGGGACCAUUUUGGGUCAUUUGAGGACAUUUGGGGACAUUUUGGGACAUUUGGGGACAUUUGGGGAGAAUUUUGGGGACGUUUGGUGACAUUUGGGGACAUUUUGGGGAGAUUUGGGGUCAUUUUAGGGACAUUUGGGGACGUUUGGGGACAUUUUUGGGACAUUUGGGGACAUUUUGGGGACAUUUGGGGAGACUGGGACAUUUUUGGGACAUUUGGGGACAUUUUGGGUCAUUUUUGGGUCAUUUUUGGGACAUUUGGGGACAUUUGGGGACAUUUGGGGACAUUUUUGGGAGAAUUUGGGGACAUUUUGGGGAGAUUUUUGGGACACUUGGGGACAUUUUUGGGACAUUUGGGGACGUUUGGGGACAUUUUGGGGACAUUUGGGGUCAUUUUGGGGACGUUUGGGGACAUUUGGGGCAUUUUGGGUCAUU